UGGAAACCGGGUAUUAUUUUUUUCUCGCAUUUCGCCACGUACAUACACGGGUGAGUUGAAAAGUUUCAGAGACCAUGACCAAAACAAUUAAAAAGACACAGCUUUUAGAGGACUUCUUUUAGGUUUGGUUUCGUACAAGAAUCUGCCAAUCUAAUUAAAACAUAACCGAGUCUGAAGAGGUGAUUGAUCAUGAUUUCUUCUGUUUUAACUUUUGUUAUUAUUCUGUUUAUUUUGCUGGAUUGUUUUUGGUGUUUGAUUUGAUUUUUUUGACUGAAUUGUCGGAGAACAUUGGCGGUUAAACUCCAUGGUAGACGGCAUAGAGGACAAUACUAUGGUGGGAUUCUGAAGAAAUCAAAGCCAAUUCAGCUCUCCAAUUCUCUAUGGCUAGGCUCGAAGAAGAGAUCUUCAACGUUCUUCUAUCCCAAACAUCUGUUUCAAAUCUGAUCUUCGAGGAAUCAUCAGUCUCCUCUCCCUCCUCACGCGCCAAAACUGGAGAAGGUAGCACCGGCGAUGGUGACGUUACGAAAGAAGAUGAUGUUACCGAAAAAGAUGGUGAUAGUUCAAGCCGGUUAACGCGUAGAAGAAAAAGUUACAGAUCCACAAGCAGAGGGACUAAACCGUAAUUCUCACCCUUUUUUUUUCUCUUUCCUGACCGAUUGUGCAAAUUUAAUAAAGUAAUGCAUUGUUACCUAAUUAAUUUACUUUCUAUGUAUAUAGAGCUAAAAAGCUCAAAAAAAAGUUAUGUUGAAAUGUGACAAAAUGACGCCAAAGAAAAAAAAAGCACUCAUCACAUGAUAAUCAAAUAACAUGCAUUUAAAAAUAUUAACAUAUAUACAGAAUAUGUUAAAUUAAAAAGCUAUAUCUUCUUAUGUUCAUUAUGAGUAUGCUUUUCAUAUGAUGUUAUGUAGAAAGGUUAUACAUGCUGUGUAAGUAAACAAUACUUGAAUAUAUGAUGAUGAAUGCAAAAUUGGA
rnacentral:lncRNA from 1 species